rnacentral:rRNA from 1 species
GACGUAGGGCGCGAGCGUUUGUCCGGAUUUAUUGGGCGUAAAGAGCUCGUAGGCGGCUUGUCGCGUCGUUCGUGAAAACCCGGGGCUCAACUCCGGGCUUGCGGGCGAUACGGGCAGGCUAGAGUCCGGAAGAGGAGAGUGGAAUUCCUGGUGUAGCGGUGAAAUGCGCAGAUAUCAGGAAGAACACCCGUGGCGAAGGCGGCUCUCUGGGCAACAACUGACGUGAGGAGCGAAAGCGUGGGGAGCGAACAGG